rnacentral:rRNA from 1 species
GAUGAACGCUGGCGGCGUGCUUAACACAUGCAAGUCGAGCGAGAAGUUUUGAAAAGAUUCUUCGGAUGAAAUUUAAAAUGGAAAGCGGCGGACGGGUGAGUAACGCGUAGGCAACCUGCCCCAUACAAAGGGAUAGCAUUUGGAAACGAAUAUUAAUACCUUAUGAAACUUAACUAGUGCAUGCUAGGUAGGUCAAAGAUUUAUCGGUAUGGGAUGGGCCUGCGUCUGAUUAGCUAGUUGGUGAGGUAACGGCUCACCAAGGCGACGAUCAGUAGCCGACCUGGGAGGGUGAACGGCCACGUAGGAACAGAGACACGGGCCAAACACCUGCGGGAGGCAGCAGUGGGGAAUAAUGAACAAUGGGGGAAAGCCGGAUGCAGCAACGCCGCGUGAACGAUGAAGGCCUUUGGUACGUAAAGUUCUGUUCUAGGUGAUGAAAACUGACAGUAACCUAGGAGAAAGCCCCGGCUAACUCCGUG